GACCACAGCAGGCAAAUAAAAGCCCUUGUAAACAGCGAAAUAGGAAUCUUAAUUCUUAAUUUCAUGAAAUGGGAACAAAUGUUCUUGCUCUGAGCUAUAUAACCAAAGAGAAGUAAACUAAGCCACAUGAUUUUUAAAAGGGAAAUUUUCUGUCUCCCUCAGGUAGGUAAUGCAGGGACUAUCAAAUAGUGGUUUUGCUUUUUAUUUCAGAAAAACUUCCUUUCUCCCAGGUUUCUGCUAAGCACUCUAGGUUAUUUUUGCAGUGAGAAGAAAUUGUCACAUACCACCUCUUGGUAUCAUGAUUUCUUUUGGCUCCUUGAACAGUUGAUUCAAGUUUGAGUCCAUAUGGUGUGAAUCCAUGGUGCAAAGACUAUCCCUCAAGCCCAAUAGCUCUUUAUUUUGCCUAGAGCCCUGUGGUCCUACUCUUGACUGCUGCUCUGUGUUCCUAAAGAAAAACAGUGGAGUCCGAUCUCUGCGUUUUGAGGUUUCGGUGGUUGGUUAACCAGAUGCUGUGAUGCUGUGCUUUAGGGCCCCCGCCAACAUAGAAGAGACAGCCACUUUUUCCAUGUUCUUGACAGAUUGGAAGGUGUUUUUUCAAAUUCUCUGCCUCAGAUCUCUUCCUGGAAAGGUUGGUCAGUUGUUCAGCCAACAACCUUGGCCUCCAGAGCCAGUGCAGCAUAGAAGCCUGUAACUACUUUCUGCCACAUUUGGACCCUCACAAACAAAUCUUCUAAGCAUUGGAAAUGGAAAACUUGAAGUGGCCAAGAAAGCCAAGGGCGCGCGGGCAUCCAGUCUUCCAGAGUCUACUUCAGCAGACCUGCUACAGAACAAGAAGCCACAGGCUGCCAAGAAAGAGUCCUUUCUUUUGUCUGGAGCAUAGCAAUACAGGGUCAGAUUUGGCCCAAGGAACAGCAUGAUUAAAUCAGCAAACCAACCCGAAACUUAUAGAAACAAGAUGUGCUUACCCACCAUUACAAAGAGAUGCUGUGGUUCUUUCCACUUGGUUGGAUGACCUACAUUAAAACUUUCAGGACCUGGGCACAGGUAGAGUCUUUGGAACCAAUGGAAUGGGGAUCUCAGCGCACAUCCCAGAGGGGAGCCAGCUACCAACUGUAGCUCCUCUCACGUCUGAAGCAUCUCCUCACCCAACUAUAAAAAUGACCUAAUUGUGUACAGACAACAGCAAUUGUACAGGGAAAAUAAUACAGUAAUGCAAAUAUUCAAACCAAAUUGGAAAAGCAAAGUAAGAAGGAGCCAGAAAACAUUAGAUCAUUCAAAUUGCAACCUGGCCAAGACAGCAUCUGGGCGUGCAUCCUCUGUCCAGUUUUUGUUCACAUACCAUCCCUAAUGCUUCUUUGCAUUUACAGAAUAAUGGCUCAGUAUUUGCACAAAACCCUUUGUGUGGCUGCAUUCUAAGGAACAAGGUUUCUCACAGCAUC
rnacentral:lncRNA from 1 species